rnacentral:rRNA from 1 species
UACGGGGGGGGGCAAGCGUUGUUCGGAAUUACUGGGCGUAAAGGGCUCGUAGGUGGCCAACUAAGUCAGACGUGAAAUCCCUCGGCUCAACCGAGGAACUGCGUCUGAUACUGGAAGGCUUGAAUCCGGGAGAGGGAUGUGGAAUUCCAGGUGUAGCGGUGAAAUGCGUAGAUAUCUGGAGGAACACCGGGUGGCGAAGGCGGCAUCCUGGACCGAGAUUGACGCUGAUGCGCGAAAGCCAGGGGGAGCAAACGGG